GGUGGCUGAGGGGAGCCUGGGGGUGCUCCUGGGCCGGGCUGGGUGCUCGUAGGGCUGGGGGUGCAGCCCUGUGCCGGGGCCUUGCAGGGAAGGAGCCCCGGCGUGCGGGGGCAGCCCCGGGCCCGUGUCCCCCCGAGGGGCCGGGGCAGCUCCCACUCCUCUCUCCUGGGCAGGAUUUGCUCUUCCGCCUCCGCGGGAACGUGGAUUACUGGAUCGGGCUGCGCAGGCGGGGCGAGCGCCUGCACUGGGGGGACGGCAGCAGCUACAGCUCCAGGGUUCCUGUGCUUGGAAAUUCCCAGUGUGUGUACCUGGCUGACGAUAAAUUCAGGAGUGAGAUGUGCUCAAAUGAGCGGCCGUAUGUCUGCAGCAAGGCCCAGGCUGCCCUGUGACAGGGCUGCAGAAAGGACCUUGUCCACGCUGGGCAGUGCCAGCUCCAGCUGUGAGCCCAGCACAGCGCUGUCCUUCCUCAGCUGCACCCUGUGUUAAUACUAAAUGUGAAAACCAAUAACUAUAUUUCUUAUUUAUAACAUCAUUUAAUUAUCUGUAUUGUGAAAUCCAAAUUGCCCUGGGCUCUUGGAAAUCAUCACAAAUUGGCCUGCACAUGACAUUUUUGGACUGUCUUUGGAAGAUUAAGAAGAGCAGCUGACAGUGCAGAGGAGGAAUCCCACCUUCAGCAUCCGGCACCUGACUGUGAAUCAGAGUCUCUCAGGGAUAAAGAGAAGCCCAGGAAGGAGAGAACAGUUUGGGGAAGGUGCAUUUUUACGAUUUGGCACACUUCUCAUUCUCUUGCUGUAAUCUGUUUGAUAAUAAAUUCAACUAAAAUCAA